rnacentral:rRNA from 1 species
CCUACGGGUGGCAGCAGUGAGGAAUAUUGGUCAAUGGGCGCGAGCCUGAAGCAGCCAAGCCGCGUGAAGGAUGACGGUCCUACGGGUUGUAAACUUCUUUUGUAAAGGAAUAAAGUGAGGGACGUGUGCCUUUUUGAAUGUACUUUAUGAACAAGGAUCGGCUAACCCCGUGCCAGCAGCCGCGGUAAUAAGGAGGAUGGGAGCGUUGUCCGGAUUUGAUGGGGUUAAAGGGAGCGUAGCUGGGUUGUUAAGUCAGGUGUGAAAGGCUGGGGCUCAACCGUAGAAUCGCAGUUGAUACUGGCAGUCUGGAGUAGAGUAGAGGUAGGCGGAAUGCGCGGUGUAGCGGUGAAAUGCUUAGAUAUCGCGAAGAACUCCGAUGGCGAAGGCAGCUUACU